rnacentral:rRNA from 1 species
UACGUAGGGGGCGAGCGUUGUCCGAAGUUACUGGGCGUAAAGCGCGCGUAGGCGGGGGGUUAAGUGGGAGGUGAAAGGCUGGGGCUCAACCCCAUGCAGUGCCUCCCAUACUGGCCUUCUUGAGGGCGGUAGGGAGAAGUGGAAUGGCUGGUGUAGCGGUGAAAUGCGUAGAUAUCAGUCGGAACACCGGUGGCGAAGGCGGCUUCUUGGGCCGUUCCUGACGCUGAGGCGCGAAAGCUGGGGGAGCGAACGGG